rnacentral:rRNA from 2 species
CUUGAUUAAACCAUAAGAGGUCCAGCCUGCCCAGUGACAUUGUUCAACGGCCGCGGUAUCCUAACCGUGCGAAGGUAGCGUAAUCACUUGUCCCUUAAAUGGGGACUAGUAUGAAUGGCCCCACGAAAGCUAUACUGUCUCCUUUUUCCAAUCAGUUAAACUAAUCUUCCCGUGAAGAAGCGGGAAUAAAUACACAAGACGAGAAGACCCUAUGGAGCUUUAAACAAUUGAAACACUUGCAUGUCUUACUUUAUUAAACCCACAUUAAACCUCACAUUUUGUUUCUAGUUUUAGGUUGGGGUGACCGCGGAGAAUAAACUAACCUCCACGCCGAAAGAGACAUCUCUAAACAAAAAGCCACAUCUUUAUGUAUUAAUAUAUUAACCUUUAUUGACCCA